AGAUUAGACGUUCCCUUCGGGGACAUGGAUACAGGUGGUGCAUCUUUGUCGUCAGCUCGUGUCGUGAGAUGUUGGGUUAAGUCCCGCAACGAGCGCAACCCUUAUUAUCAGUUGCCAGCAUUAAGUUGGGCACUCUGGUGAGACUGCCGGUGACAAACCGGAGGAAGGUGGGGAUGACGUCCAAUCAUCAUGCCCCUUAUGACCUGGGCUACACACGUGCUACAAUGGAUGGUACAACGAGGUGCGAACUCGCGAGAGUAAGCUAAUCUCUUAA
rnacentral:rRNA from 1 species